rnacentral:lncRNA from 1 species
UAACACAUAACAUUUAAGUUUUAAAUGCACAAAAGAACCUUUCAACUAAGCAUGCACCUUAAAAGGAUUAUCCAUAUGCUAAAAGUUCAUAUAAUGCUUGCCAAUUAACAAUGAACUCAAAAAGAAGUUCUCAAAUCAUCAAGUAAUACAUAACUGACCAAAGCAUUGAUAAAUCAAUUGAGCAAUCGAUUAUCUAACUCAAAAUAAG